CAUUGUCAGGAGAGAUGACAUCACAAGAAAUCCACCAACCAGGGCCAAAGAGAACAGAUCUCAGUCUCCUUGCCCAGAGCAGCCCAGGACCCUGACACCAUCUUGUCCUGACGCUACCAUGGGCUGCAGGCUGCUGUGCUGUGUGGUCCUCUGUCUCCUGGGAGCAGUCCCCACGGACACUGGAGUUACCCAGACGCCAAGACACCUGGUCAUGGGAAUGACAGAUAAGAAGUCUUUGAAGUGUCACCAAAAUCUGGGACACAAUGCUAUGUACUGGUAUAAACUGAGUGCUAAGAAGCCACCGGAGCUCAUGUUUUACUACUACUAUCAGGCACUCAGAGAAAACAUGACUGUUCCAAGUCGCUUCUCACCCGAAUGUCCUGAUAACUCUCACUUGUACCUUCACCUGGACGCCCUGCAGCCAGAAGACUCCGCCACGUACCUCUGUGCCAGCAGCCAAGACACAGCGUUGCAGA